rnacentral:rRNA from 1 species
CACGGGGGGAGCAAGCGUUGUUCGGAUUCAUUGGGCGUAAAGGGCUCGUAGGUGGCUUUGUAAGUCGGAGGUGAAAUCCCACGGCUCAACCGUGGACACGCCUUCGAAACUGUGAAGCUUGAGGCUGGGAGAGGAGAUCGGAAUUCCUGGUGUAGCGGUGAAAUGCGUAGAUAUCAGGAGGAACACCGGUGGCGAAGGCGGCUCUCUGGACCACAACUGACGCUGAGGCGCGAAAGCUAGGGGAGCAAACAGG